UUUUUUUUUGGUUUUCCGACAUAGAAUGCUAUCUCUCU
rnacentral:sRNA from 1 species